GAAACCGUACCGAAAGGAGCGGCGGAGCGCUGUGAAGAGAGAAUGCCGGAAUGAGUAGCGAGAUGGAGGUGAGAAUCCUCCAGGCCGAAUAUCCAAGGAUUCCAGGGUAAAGCUGAUCUGCCCUGGGGAAGUCGGGACCUAAGCUGAGGCCGAGGAGGCGUAAGCGAUGGACAGCAGGUUGAUAUUCCUGCACUUAUGUAUAUCAGAACUGUGGGGACGCAGGCAAAAGGGUCGAGCCGGGGAAGGAAGAACCGGUCCCGCAAGGGGGAACGAACUAUAAGUAGUGAAGCGACAGAUAUGACUGCCAAGAAAAGCCACUAUAGCGUAUACAUAACCCGUACCGUAAACCGACACAGGUGGAUGAGGAGAGAAUCCUAAGGCCGACGGGAGAAGCAUUGUUAAGGAACUCGGCAAAAUGUCCCCGUAACUUCGGGAUAAGGGGAGCCUGAGAAAUCAGGCCGCAGAGAAGAGGCUCAAGCAACUGUUUAGCAAAAACACAGGUCUAUGCGAAACCGAAAGGUGAGGUAUAUGGGCUGACGCCUGCCCGGUGCUGGAAGGUUAAGAGGAGAGGUUAGAGCAAUCGAAGCUUUGAAUUUAAGCCCCAGUAAACGGCGGCCGUAACUAUAACGGUCCUAAGGUAGCGAAAUUCCUUGUCGGGUAAGUUCCGACCCGCACGAAAGGCGUAAUGAUUUGAGCACUGUCUCGGCAAUGCACCCGGUGAAAUUGAAGUACCAGUGAAGAUGCUGGUUACCCGCGCCAGGACGGAAAGACCCCAUGGAGCUUUACUCCAGGUUGAUACUGGGGUCCGGUACCAUAUGUACAGGAUAGGUGGGAGACUAAGAAACGGUGACGUCAGUUGCCGCGGAGUCGCUGUUGGGAUACCACCCUUAUGAUGCUGGGCUUCUAACCAAGGAUCUUGAAACAGGUCCGGGGACAAUGUCUGCCGGGGAGUUUGACUGGGGCGGUCGCCUCCGAAAGGGUAUCGGAGGCGCUCAAAGGUUCCUUCAGAAUGGACGGAAACCAUUCGUAGAGUGCAAAGGCAGAAGGGAGCCUGACUGUGACACCGACGGGUGGAACAGAUACGAAAGUAGGACUUAGUGAUCCGGUGGUAUGAAAGUGGGAUUGCCAUCGCUCAACGGAUAAAAGCUACCCUGGGGAUAACAGGCUUAUCACUCCCAAGAGUUCACAUCGACGGAGUGGUUUGGCACCUCGAUGUCGGCUCAUCGCAUCCUGGGGCUGUAGCAGGUCCCAAGGGUUGGGCUGUUCGCCCAUUAAAGCGGUACGCGAGCUGGGUUCAGAACGUCGUGAGACAGUUCGGUCCCUAUCCGGCGCGGGCGUAGGAUAUCUGAGAGGAGCUGUCCUUAGUACGAGAGGACCGGGAUGGACGGACCGCUGGUGUAUCAGCUGCAUCGCCAGAUGCAUAAGGCUGGGUAGCCACGUCCGGAAGGGAUAAACGCUGAAGGCAUCUAAGCGUGAAGCCCCCCUCAAGAUGAGAUAUCCCAUGCGCAAGCAGUAAGACCCCUUAGAGAGUAUGAGGUUAGAUAGGCACAAGGUGUAAGCACGGUAACGUGUUCAGCUGAUGUGUACUAAUAGGUCGAGGGCUUAUCCAA
rnacentral:rRNA from 1 species